rnacentral:rRNA from 1 species
AGCCUGCAACUCGGCUGCAUGAAGCCGGAAUCGCUAGUAAUCGCGGAUCAGAACGCCGCGGUGAAUACGUUCCCGGGUCUUGUGCACACCGCCCGUCACACCAUGGGAGUCGGGAACGCCCGAAGUCGGUGCCCCAACCGUAAGGAGGGAGCCGCCGAAGGCGGGCCCGGCGACUGGGUGAAGUCGUAACAAGGUAUC